rnacentral:lncRNA from 1 species
GGUUGCGUGGAUCGUGAGCUCUCUCCCCUUUGGCGUUUGGAUGUCGGUUGAGAAGCCAUUGAUUUUCGGAUGUUAGAACUUGUUAUCGCACACUUCUUUCCCCUUACACUUGGUUCACUUAAUUUCUCAAACACUUGGUGUGCAUAGUCCGUUCUUCCCCCAAAACUAGGUUGUUUCUAUGGUAAUUCAGUUGAGAGAAGAUGAAAACCCAAUAGAAAUGUAACUAACACUCAAUUGCUCUAUGUGUUCCCUAAUUUCUUGAUGAAUAUGGGAGCUAUGUGGUAGGGUUUAUAUAGAGGUGAUGUAGGGGAGAAGUAGUGGCCCAAACUUGUUGAUGUGAUUAGUGGAUAUAUGUUUGGUAAUGGGGUGAGAGGUGAUAAGUGAAUUUUAUAUACACUUAUCCGGUAUCUUUU